rnacentral:rRNA from 1 species
GACGAACGCUGGCGGCGUGCUUAACACAUGCAAGUCGAACGGAAAGGCCCUGCUUUUGUGGGGUGCUCGAGUGGCGAACGGGUGAGUAACACGUGAGUAACCUGCCCUUGACUUUGGGAUAACUUCAGGAAACUGGGGCUAAUACCGGAUAGGAGCUCCUGCUGCAUGGUGGGGGUUGGAAAGUUUCGGCGGUUGGGGAUGGACUCGCGGCUUAUCAGCUUGUUGGUGGGGUAGUGGCUUACCAAGGCUUUGACGGGUAGCCGGCCUGAGAGGGUGACCGGCCACAAUGGUACUGAGAUACGGCCCAGACUCCUACGGGAGGCAGCAGUGGGGAAUAUUGCACAAUGGGCGGAAGCCUGAUGCAGCAACGCCGCGUGCGGGAUGACGGCCUUCGGGUUAUAAACCGCUUUCGCCUGUGACGAAGCGUGAGUGACGGUAAUGGGUAAAGAAGCACCGGCUAACUACGUG